UACGGAGGGUGCAAGCGUUAUCCGGAAUCACUGGGCGUAAAGCGCACGUAGGCGGAUUGCUAAGUCAGGGGUGAAAUCCUGGAGCUCAACUCCAGAACUGCCUUUGAUACUGGCGAUCUUGAGUCCGGGAGAGGUGAGUGGAACUGCGAGUGUAGAGGUGAAAUUCGUAGAUAUUCGCAAGAACACCAGUGGCGAAGGCGGCUCACUGGCCCGGUACUGACGCUGAGGUGCGAAAGCGUGGGGAGCAACAGGG
rnacentral:rRNA from 1 species